UAAGUUACAAGCUAAUGAAUGCAAUGCGAGUCCACAGAAGUUGCCUCUCGGAAUGAUGUGAAACUUUUGCUUUAAUAUGUCCGGCCAACCUUUUACAGUCAGCGACUAAUGCUAAUCCUUUCACAACGGCAACGGUGAAAAACCCUAGUCUAUUGUUUGUCACCAACAUGCUAAAAACUAGGAAUAAAAAGUAGGUUUACAAGAAAUCAAAUGACUCUAAUGAAUCUCACAUACUUAAUCUAUUCUUUAGGUUCUCACAAGUGUUCGACUACUGGGUGAUGGUAGCUACCAGAGGCCUACCGGACAAGAUCACACUGUGUGCAUUGCCCAAACCACUGUGAGCAAAUACCUCGCUCAAUUUACCGAAGCAGUGAAUAGAGUAUUACUGCCAAAAUGGGUGUACUUUCCUGCUACUGAAGCAGAGAGGCAAGCCCUCAGUAGAGGGUUUCAGGAGAAGUUUGGUGUACCAGAUGCAAUUGGUGCGGUUGAUUGCACCCAUGUUGCAAUAUUCCCCCCGCCAGGACCUCAAAGGGUUCAAUACCGGAACAGAAAGGGAUACCAUUCCAUCAACACCCAAUUGGUUUGCGAUGCUGACUGCCGAAUUCUGCAUGCUAAUGCACGGUACCCUGGAAGGGUCCAUGACCAAUUCAUCUUUAAUCACUCAAAUCUGAGGAGAGAGAUGAGUCGACUAUACGAGGCUCGAAUUGGCUCAUAUUAUUUAUUGGGAGAUUCUGGUUAUGCCCUCGAGCCUUGGGUCAUGACUCCUAUCGUGGAUGCCCCAGAAAAUAGCCCAGCUGACCUGUACACACAGUGGCACUGCAAAGCACGCAAUUGCAUUGAGCGGACAAAUGGAUAUCUCAAGGGUACCUUCAGAUGCCUUGGACAUGACAGGGUACUUCAUUACAGCCCAGAGAAGGCCUCCGCAAUAAUAUAUACAUGUAUAACACUGUAUAAUAUUAUGAAGCAUUACAGGGUCCCAUUUGGGAAUCACGAUGAUGAAGUCAAUGAAAAUGAAGAGGGAAAUGCCGAGCCUGUAAGACCAGCUGGCGCUUUGCUGCGUGCAGGACAGCAGCGUCGAUUACAGUUAAUAAAUAAUUUCUUCACUUA